UCCUACAUGGUCUAGGGGUUAGGAUUCCUGGCUUUCACCCACGCGGCCCGGGUUCCAUUCCCGGUGUAGGAA
rnacentral:tRNA from 1 species